rfam:Schistosoma margrebowiei strain Zambia genome assembly, scaffold: SMRZ_scaffold0000902
AUCCAGCUGAUGAGUCCCAAAUAGGACGAAACGUGCGCCUUGGAU